GGCGGGGUGCUCAGGGAGGCAGCACUGCGCAAGCGCAAUAGAGGGGGCUGCGUCGACACCCACUUAACUUCGGAGUUAGUGGGACACCUUUCUUUUUGCUUAGUACGCUUUUCUGCUAUUCCUGCCGCAUAACUCUCUCUUCCCCAGGCUUUUCCCAUCUCCAUCCUAUUCUCUCGCAGGUGCUGGGGGAAAAGAUUACUUCCCAGAUGCAGUAUUUACAUCUCCUCCGCCCUACUCUUCCAACCCUGCCUGAAAUAAGUGUGGUUCUCCUGUCUGUCAGACUAUGAAGAGUUCUCAAAUAUGUCUUUCCCAGCGAGGGAGAGGAGACAACAGAAACUUCAGCCUCCACGAUCGAUGUUUCUCAAGUGUCAAGGAAAAUGGAGCCUAGGAGGGCAGCCCCACAAGCAGCGUGAUGGGCAUUUAAGCCGACGCAUGUGCCAGGUCCUAGAACAGAGUAACUUCCCC
rnacentral:lncRNA from 10 species